UGGUGGCGAUGGCGGAGGGGUUCCACGCGUACCCAUCCCGAACACGACCGUUAAGCCCUCCAGCGCCGAUGGUACUUGGACCGAAGGGUCCUGGGAGAGUAGGACGCCGCCA
rnacentral:rRNA from 3 species